UACGUAGGGGGCGAGCGUUGUCCGGAGUUACUGGGCGUAAAGCGCACGCAGGCGGUCUGCUAAGUUUGGAGUGACAGUUGGUGGCUUAACUGCCAAAGUGCUUCGAAAACUGACAGACUUGAGGGCUUCAGAGGGACACGGAAUUCCGGGUGUAGCGGUGGAAUGCGUAGAGAUCCGGAAGAACACCAGUGGCGAAGGCGGCCCGCUGGGCAGUGGCUGACGCUGAGGCGCGACAGCGUGGGGAGCAAACAGG
rnacentral:rRNA from 1 species